CGGGGUGCACCAGGCGCGAAAACUUUACAAUGCGGGAAACCGUGAUAAGGGAACUCCGAGUGUCCGUAAAUGCGGACUGUCCGUAUGUUUAAAAAGCAUGCGAAGAAAGGGCCGGGCAAGACCGGUGCCAGCCGCCGCGGUAAUACCGGCGGCUCGAGUGGUGGCCACUAUUACUGGGCUUAAAGCGUUCGUAGCUGGGUUGUUAAGUUUCUUGGGAAAUCUACCGGCUUAACCGAUAGGCGUCCAAGGGAUACUGGCAAUCUAGGGACCGGGAGAGGUGAGGGGUACUUCAGGGGUAGGAGUGAAAUCCUGUAAUCCUUGGGGGACCACCUGUGGCGAAGGCGCCUCACCAGAACGGCUCCGACAGUGAGGGACGAAAGCUGGGGGAGCAAACCGGAUUAGAUACCCGGGUAGUCCCAGCCGUAAACGAUGCGCGUUAGGUGUAUCGAUGACCACGAGUCAUCGAGGUGCCGAAGGGAAACCGUGAAACGCGCCGCCUGGGAAGUACGGUCGCAAGGCUGAAACUUAAAGGAAUUGGCGGGGGAGCAC
rnacentral:rRNA from 1 species